UAAUACGAAGGGUGCUAGCGUUGUUCGGAAUUACUGGGCGUAAAGGGCGCGUAGGCGGUUAUGUAAGUCAGAUGUGAAAGCCUUGGGCUUAACCUAAGAAUUGCAUUUGAUACUGCAUUGACUAGAGAUCGAGAGAGGAAAGUGGAAUUACGAGUGUAGAGGUGAAAUUCGUAGAUAUUCGUAAGAACAUCAGUGGCGAAGGCGGCUUUCUGGCUCGAUACUGACGCUAAGGCGCGAAAGCGUGGGGAGCAAACAGG
rnacentral:rRNA from 1 species